rnacentral:rRNA from 1 species
AACCUCCGCAAUGUGAGAAAUCGCGACGGGGGGAUCCCAAGUGCCAUUCUUAACGGGAUGGCUUUUCAUUAGUGUAAAGAGCUUUUGGAAUAAGAGCUGGGCAAGACCGGUGCCAGCCGCCGCGGUAACACCGGCAGCUCUAGUGGUAACAAUUUUUAUUGGGCCUAAAGCGUCCGUAGCCGGUUUAAUAAGUCUCUGGUGAAAUCCUGUAGCUUAACCGUGGGAAUUGCUGGAGAUACUAUUAGACUUGAGACCGGGAGAGGUUAGAGGUACUCCCAGGGUAGAGGUGAAAUUCUGUAAUCCUGGGAGGACCGCCUGUUGCGAAGGCGUCUAACUGGAACGGUUCUGACAGUGAGGGACGAAAGUUAGGGGCGCGAACCGGAUUAGAUACCCGGGUAGUCCUAACUGUAAACGAUGCGGACUUGGUGUUGGGGUGGCUUUGAGCUGCUCCAGUGCCGAAGGGAAGCUGUUAAGUCCGCCGCCUGGGAAGUACGGUCGCAAGACUGAAACUUAAAGGAAUU